rnacentral:rRNA from 1 species
UACAGAGGUCUCAAGCGUUGUUCGGAUUCAUUGGGCGUAAAGGGUGUGUAGGUGGCGCCGUAAGUCGGGUGUGAAAUUUCGGAGCUUAACUCCGAAACUGCACUCGAUACUGCGGUGCUUGAGGACUGGAGAGGAGACUGGAAUUCAUGGUGUAACAGUGAAAUGCGUAGAGAUCAUGAGGAAGACCAGUGGCGAAGGCGGGUCUCUGGACAGUUCCUGACACUGAGACACGAAGGCCAGGGGAGCAAACGGG